rnacentral:rRNA from 1 species
UACGUAGGGGGCAAGCGUUGUCCGGAUUUAUUGGGCGUAAAGAGCGUGUAGGCGGCCCAUACAGGUCCGUUGUGAAAACUGGAGGCUUAACCUCCAGACGUCGAUGGAAACCGUAUGGCUAGAGUCCGGAAGAGGAGAGUGGAAUUCCUGGUGUAGCGGUGAAAUGCGCAGAUAUCAGGAAGAACACCCGUGGCGAAGGCGGCUCUCUGGGACGGUACUGACGCUGAGACGCGAAAGCGUGGGGAGCGAACAGG